rnacentral:rRNA from 1 species
GAGUUUGAUCGUGGCUCAGAUUGAACGCUGGCGGCAUGCCUUACACAUGCAAGUCGAACGGCAGCACGGGAGCUUGCUCCUGGUGGCGAGUGGCGAACGGGUGAGUAAUGCAUCGGAACGUAUCCUGGAGUGGGGGAUAACGUAGCGAAAGUUACGCUAAUACCGCAUAUUCUGUGAGCAGGAAAGCGGGGGACCUUCGGGCCUCGCGCUCUUGGAGCGGCCGAUGUCGGAUCAGCUAGUUGGUGAGGUAAAGGCUCACCAAGGCGACGAUCCGUAGCAGGUCUGAGAGGAUGAUCUGCACACUGGAACUGAGACACGGUCCAGACUCCUAC